rnacentral:lncRNA from 1 species
AUGGUGUCAUAAGUUGUGUACGGCGCUCACUUUAGUGCCAAAAGUUUCCGUCGGAUCACUUAAGUGCCAAAAAAUUUGAAAAACGCUCACUUUGGUGCCAACGCCGAUCUGAUCGGCCGGAAAUCUGACGUGGCGUUUUUUUAUUAAUUUUUUAGGCUGACGUGGCUUGCCGGAGAGCACAAUCAGCAUCUAAACCACAAAAACGACGUCGUUUGGCUUCUUUCCCCCAAAUCGAAACCCUAAAUCCCCAAAUUGAAAGAGAGAG